UAUGAAGAACGUAGUGAAACGCGAUAUUUCUUGUGAAUUGCAGAAGUGAAUCAUCAGUUUUUGAACGCACAUUGCACUUUGGGGUAUCCCCCAAAGUAUACUUGUUUGAGCGUUGUUUCUCUCUUGGAAUUGCUUUGCUCUUCUAAAAUUUCGAAUCAAAUUCGUUUGAAAAACAACACUAUUCAACCUCAGAUCAAGUAGGAUUACCCGCUGAACUUAAGCAUAUCAAUAAGCGGAGGA
rnacentral:misc_RNA from 1 species